rnacentral:rRNA from 1 species
GAUGAACGCUGGCGGCGUGCCUAAUACAUGCAAGUCGAGCGAACAGAUGAGGAGCUUGCUCCUCUGACGUUAGCGGCGGACGGGUGAGUAACACGUGGAUAACCUACCUAUAAGACUGGGAUAACUUCGGGAAACCGGAGCUAAUACCGGAUAAUAUAUUGAACCGCAUGGUUCAAUAGUGAAAGACGGUUUUGCUGUCACUUAUAGAUGGAUCCGCGCCGCAUUAGCUAGUUGGUAAGGUAACGGCUUACCAAGGCAACGAUGCGUAGCCGACCUGUGAGGGUGAUCGGCGACACUGGAACUGAGACACGGUCCAUACUCCUACGGGAGGCAGCAGUAGGGAAUCGUCCGCAAUGGGCGAAAGCCUGACGGAGCAACGCCGCGUGAGUGAUGAAGGUCUUCGGAUCGGAAUACUCUGUUAUUAGGGAAGAACAAAUGUGUAAGUAACUAUGCACGUCUUGACGGUACCUAAUCAGAAAGCCACGGCUAACUACGUG